AUUGCUGAACACUGCCACAUAACUUGUAUAACUGCUAUAAAGGCUUGGUUUUCAGCCAUAAGAUGGGAAGAGAAAUAACAGCUACCUGCAGGAUGACUGCAAGCUGUAAAGUGCCACAAAGCCCAGGGGAGCCCAGAACCGCCACUGCAGGACAGGUCCUCUGGAAGCGGACAGACCUGCCUUGUUACUUUAGCCCUCCAGAGUCCAGUUUAGCCAGUGAUGAAAUGAAUACCAAAGAACACCUUUCUUGUAGGAUUGCAAAAUGAUACAGAGGAUGUCUUCAUCCAUUCUGUGCUGCUAUAACAGACUACUACAGAUGGGUAACUUAUAGUUUACAGACGCUUGUUGGCUUAUGGUUCUGGAGGCUGGGCAGUUCAACCUCAAGGGGCUGCAUCUGGUGAGGGCCUUCUUGUUGCAUCUUCACAUCACAGAAUAGCAGAAGGGCAAAGAGAGAGAAAGGAAAGGGUGCUGAACGCACCCUUUUAUAAGAAGCCCACUCCCAUUAUAACAGCACCAGCCCAUUCAGGAGGGCAAAGCUCUCGUGGCUGAAUUGCCUCUCAGAGGUUCCUCUCAGAUGAUCUUAAGAUCAUCACAAUGACAAUCAAACUUCAAUAUGAAUUUUGGAGGGGACAGUUAUUCAAACCAGAGCAGAGAGGGAUGGCAAAUGUUCUGAAAACAAGCCUAGAAAUUGAUCUUAGAAAUAGUGCAAAAGUAGAUUUCCACUUCUGUCUUUACCUGUGAUGGUCUAACCCCAAAAGCCUCCCAGAACAGAACUUGUGAACACAAGAUAGAAACAACAAACUUUUGAUGCACAGCUGAGCUCACAAGGAGGUCAGGGAUGUGAUAGGAACCAGAGACAAACAGAAGACUGAAAACCAGGUCUUGAAGUGUGAUAGCCAAAGGGCAGCAGCCCGGGAGAAUGUUGGUCUGGAGUCUCGGGAUUUAAGUCUCCACACUCACAUGGGAAAGGAGACGAGGCCUCCCUGGACCCACGUGAAUCGGGAACUGGAACAAGGGCACUCAAAGGGCUACACCCUCAGGAGAGAUGUGAACAAAUGUGCCCACAGAAAUAGGAUGAAAAUAGGAAGAAAAUAGGAUGGUUCUGUGUUUGCCUGCCUGUUGUGGUUCUGUGAGACACAAACAGUUUUGUUGAAAAUUGAUAAUCAGGACUCAGAGUCUCGUUAGACUUCAGGUAUUGAAUUUUUCUUUUUUGAGACAGGGUCUAGCUGUGUUGCCCACGCUGGUUUUGAACUCCUGGGCCCAAGUGAUCCUCCUACUUUGGCCUCCCAAAGUGCUGGGAUUACAGGAAUGAGCUACCGUGCCCAGCCUAGGUAUCAAAUUUUCACAGGUUUCACAGUUCAGGCCUUACCACCCCUGCAGCAAAUAACUUGAUAUAAAACCUGGGCCCAGGCCAGUAAGACCCUUGAUGCCCAUGACAGAAGCAGGCACAGUGAUAGAAGCAAAAUCACAUAGACAUUCUCAAUCUAGCCCCCUCCGAUUCCUACCCAUAAAACCCACUGAAGAUGAAUUUACAAUCAAAGUACAAGACAUGCAAAGAAAGAACCACAUGAGGGAAGUCAACAGAUGUGUGAAAGCAGGAACGGACUCCCCCACCAAAGGUCUUCAGAAGAACCAGCUGGGACCCUCGGAGAGUUCCAGAACCACCAGCAUCAGGGUGGCCAAGAUGUGGGCACUGCCAGACAGGGGCCCAUGUGGGGCCAGAAGAAAUGACAGGACAUAGCAAGUCUCAGACGUGACCAGAGACUGCUGCAUGGUGGAAGGUUUCCCUGAGUGUGGUGACCCGGCCACUCCACAGGAAGCCUCCACACCCAAGGUUAAAGGUGUCUAGCUGUGGCCAGGGUUCCAGGGAACCUGUGGAUCCCACGAUGUGGCACUGAAGAUCUGAGCCCUGCAGAGGAGCUGCACCACAGAGGCCAGGCUUUGGUGUGGAGAAUGCACAUGAAGGGAGCAUGGGAGGUCUUGAGCUGAGGCCCAGCCCCCUGACCCCCACCCCCACCCACCACCAGGGGAUUCUCCUCAGGGCCUCACAGAGCACCACGUGGUGUCAGUGCUAGUCCUGCCAUAGCUCCCAGGAUCAAUGCUUCCCAGAACUCCCUGCUACAUCAAUACGUCCGGUCCCUUUCCCUCGAGAUCUUGAAACGUGAAUACUUCACUUGGCAGUAACGGUGAAACAUUUCAACAUGUAAAUUGUCAUUUUAUGCACACACAGAAUGCUGGCCCAUAAAGGGCCGGGAGGUCCAAUAUCCUACACACUGGACUCCUCAUUAGUCCUUUGAGUCUUGUGUUACCCAACACACUGCAUUGGGAUCAAACUGAAUUUGCAGCAAGGCCAUCAUAGCUCAUGCCUGUAAUCCCAGCACUUUGGGAGGCUGAGAUAGAGGAUCACUUGAAGCCAAGAGUCCAAGACCAGCCUGGGGAACAUACUGAGACCUUGCCUCUA